rnacentral:rRNA from 1 species
UUUGACUGGGGCGGUCUCCUCCUAAAGAGUAACGGAGGAGCACGAAGGUUGGCUAAUCCUGGUCGGACAUCAGGAGGUUAGUGCAAUGGCAUAAGCCAGCUUGACUGCGAGCGUGACGGCGCGAGCAGGUGCGAAAGCAGGUCAUAGUGAUCCGGUGGUUCUGAAUGGAAGGGCCAUCGCUCAACGGAUAAAAGGUACUCCGGGGAUAACAGGCUGAUACCGCCCAAGAGUUCAUAUCGACGGCGGUGUUUGGCACCUCGAUGUCGGCUCAUCACAUCCUGGGGCUGAAGUAGGUCCCAAGGGUAUGGCUGUUCGCCAUUUAAAGUGGUACGCGAGCUGGGUUUAGAACGUCGUGAGACAGUUCGGUCCCUAUCUGCCGUGGG